rnacentral:rRNA from 1 species
AUUGAACGCUGGCGGCAGGCCUAACACAUGCGAGUCGAACGGUAACAGGAAACAGCUUGCUGUUUCGCUGACGAGUGGCGGACGGGUGAGUAAUGUCUGGGAAACUGCCUGAUGGAGGGGGAUAACUACUGGAAACGGUAGCUAAUACCGCAUAACGUCGCAAGACCAAAGAGGGGGACCUUCGGGCCUCUUGCCAUCGGAUGUGCCCAGAUGGGAUUAGCUUGUUGGUGGGGUAACGGCUCACCAAGGCGACGAUCCCUAGCUGGUCUGAGAGGAUGACCAGCCACACUGGAACUGAGACACGGUCCAGACUCCUACGGGAGGCAGCAGUGGGGAAUAUUGCACAAUGGGCGCAAGCCUGAUGCAGCCAUGCCGCGUGUAUGAAGAAGGCCUUCGGGUUGUAAAGUACUUUCAGCGGGGAGGAAGGGAGUAAAGUUAAUACCUUUGCUCAUUGACGUUACCCGCAGAAGAAGCACCGGCUAACUCCGUG